GAAUGCUUGUGGUGCUCGCUUCAGCAACACUGGACCGAUACAGAGAAGAUGAGCAUGGCCCUGCACAAGGAUGACACAGAAAUUCAUGAAGCAUUCCAUACAAAA